CAAAUUUCCACUUCCAAUCAAUUACCCAUCUUCUCCCAACACAUUUUCAAAGUAGAAUUUGAAGAAAAGAAGAGAAAUCAAAGAGAAAAUUCAAGGUUGAGGGAGAGUGAAUAGUAAUCAAGGGUUUGGAAAUUUAAAGAAGUGGAAGGGAAGAGUGGAAACUCUAAAAGGGAAAGGAAA